rnacentral:rRNA from 1 species
GGGUAGUUGAGGAGAGAAUCCUAAGGUGUGCGAGAGAACUCUCGUUAAGGAACUCGGCAAAAUGACCCCGUAACUUCGGGAGAAGGGGUGCUGACCGCAAGGUCAGCCGCAGUGAAUAGGCCCAAGCGACUGAUUAUCAAAAACACAGGUCUCUGCAAAAUCGAAAGAUGACGUAUAGGGGCUGACGCCUGCCCGGUGCUGGAAGGUUAAGAGGAGAGGUUAGCGCAAGCGAAGCUUUGAAUUGAAGCCCCAGUAAACGGCGGCCGUAACUAUAACGGUCCUAAGGUAGCGAAAUUCCUUGUCGGGUAAGUUCCGACCCGCACGAAAGGCGUAACGAUUUGGGCACUGUCUCAACGAGAGACUCGGUGAAAUUAUAGUACCAGUGAGGAUGCUGGUUACCCGCGACAGGACGGAAAGACCCCAUGGAGCUUUACUGCAGUUUGAUAUUGCGUGUUUGUAUCACAUGUACAGGAUAGGUAGGAGCCGAAGAUACCGGGACGCCAGUCUCGGAGGAGGCAACGGUGGGAUACUACCCUUGUGAUAUGACCACUCUAACCCGCUGCUCUUAGCGAGCAGGGAGACAGUGUCAGACGGGCAGUUUGACUGGGGCGGUCGCCUCCAAAAAUGUAGCGGAGGCGCCCAAAGGUUCCCUCAGAAUGGUUGGAAAUCAUUCGUAGAGUGUAAAGGCAGAAGGGAGCUUGACUGCGAGACCUACAAGUCGAGCAGGGACGAAAGUCGGGCUUAGUGAUCCGGUGGUUCCGCAUGGAAGGGCCAUCGCUCAACGGAUAAAAGCUACCCUGGGGAUAACAGGCUUAUCUCCCCCAAGAGUUCACAUCGACGGGGAGGUUUGGCACCUCGAUGUCGGCUCAUCGCAUCCUGGGGCUGUAGUCGGUCCCAAGGGUUGGGCUGUUCGCCCAUUAAAGCGGUACGCGAGCUGGGUUCAGAACGUCGUGAGACAGUUCGGUCCCUAUCCGUCGCGGGCGUUGGAAAUUUGAGAGGAGCUGUCCUUAGUACGAGAGGACCGGGAUGGACACACCGCUGGUGUACCAGUUGUUCUGCCAAGAGCAUCGCUGGGUAGCUAUGUGUGGACGGGAUAAACGCUGAAAGCAUCUAAGCGUGAAGCCCCCCUCAAGAUGAGAUUUCCCAUCACUUUAAGUGAGUAAGACCCCUGAGAGAUGAUCAGGUAGAUAGGUUGGGAGUGGAAGUACAGCGAUGUAUGGAGCGGACCAAUACUAAUCGGUCGAGGACUUAAC